rnacentral:rRNA from 1 species
CCCUUAGAUGUUCUGGGCAGCACGCGCGCUACACUGACGAAUGCAACGAGCUUAUAACCUUGGCCGAAAGGUCUGGGUAAUCUCCAAAUUUCGUCGUGAUGGGGAUAGAUUAUUGCAAUUAUUAAUCUUCAACGAGGAAUGCCUAGUAAGCGCAAGUCAUCAGCUUGCGUUGAUUACGUCCCUGCCCUUUGUACACACCGCCCGUCGCUCCUACCGAUUGAAUGGUCCGGUGAAGCGUUCGGACCGUGGCCUUUGGACGGUUCGCCGUCUGUUGGCUGCGGGAAGUUCGUUAAACCUUAUCAUUUAGAGGAAGGAGAAGUCGUAACA